rnacentral:snRNA from 23 species
CUUCUCUGAGGCCUUCGCAAAACGUACAACUCUUUCGCCUUUUACUAAAAAGUUCCGUGUAGGGGGCCUCACAUGGAGAAUGUCUCCAAUUUUUCCCAUACCUUGGAGGGUUA